AAUAAGCAAUCAAAACAUAAGGACUAAAAUUAAAAAAAUAAAAAUAAAAAGGACAAACAUGUACUUUAACUAGAAGAGAGAGAAAAGUAGGAAGAAUAAAGAAGAAACAACCACCGGCGACAAACCGCUAAACACUAGGAGAGAAAAAAUUAACCCGAAGUACCUUGAUAAACCCACAAACCACGUUAACCUUAUAAAAAAAUUUGACAAAAACAACUUUGAAAAAAAAUUAUAACAAAAAAAGGAAAAGAAAAAAAAA
rnacentral:lncRNA from 1 species